CCUACGGGAGGCAGCAGUGAGGAAUAUUGGUCAAUGGGAGAGAUCCUGAACCAGCCAAGCCGCGUGAGGGAAGACGGCCCUAUGGGUUGUAAACCUCUUUUGUCGGAGAACAAAACCCGGGACGUGUCCCGUACUGCGUGUAUCCGAAGAAAAAGCAUCGGCUAACUCCGUGCCAGCAGCCGCGGUAAUACGGGGGAUGCGAGCGUUAUCCGGAUUUAUUGGGUUUAAAGGGUGCGUAGGCGGUCCGUUAAGUCAGCGGUAAAAUUGCGGGGCUAAACCCCGACGAGCCGUUGAAACUGGCAGACUUGAGUUGGCGAGAAGUACGCGGAAUGCGCGGUGUAGCGGUGAAAUGCAUAGAGAUGGCGCAGAACUCCGAUGGCGAAGGCAGCGUACCGGCGCCAGACUGACGCUGAGGUACGAAAGCGUGGGGAUCGAACAGGAUUAGAUACCCCAGUAGUC
rnacentral:rRNA from 1 species